UACGUAGGGUGCGAGCGUUAAUCGGAAUUACUGGGCGUAAAGCGUGCGCAGGCGGUUUUGUAAGCCAGAUGUGCAAGCCCCGGGCUUAACCUGGGAAUGGCAUUUGGGGCUGCAAGGCUUGAGUGCGGCAGAGGAGACUGGAAUUCCUGGUGUAGCAGUGAAAUGCGUAGAUAUCAGGAGGAAUACCGAUGGCGAAGGCAGGUCUCUGGGCUGACACUGACGCUCAUGCACGAAAGCGUGGGGAGCAAAACGGG
rnacentral:rRNA from 1 species